rnacentral:rRNA from 1 species
UACAGAGGGUGCAAGCGUUAUUCGGAUUUACUGGGCGUAAAGCGUGAGUAGGUGGCUCGCUAAGUCGGUUGUGAAAUCCCUGGGCUCAACCCGGGAACCGCGUCCGAGACUGGCAGGCUCGAAUCCGGGAGAGGGAUGUGGAAUUCCAGGUGUAGCGGUGAAAUGCGUAGAUACUGGGAAGAACACCAGUGGCGAAGGCGGCUACCUGGACCGGUUCUGACGCUGAUGCGCGAAAGCGUGGGGAGCAAACAGG